UACGUAGGGUGCAAGCGUUAAUCGGAAUUACUGGGCGUAAAGCGUGCGCAGGCGGUUGUGCAAGACAGAUGUGAAAUCCCCGGGCUCAACCUGGGAAUUGCGAUGGAGACUGCAAGGCUAGAAUCUGGCAGAGGGGGGUAGAAUUCCACGUGUAGCAGUGAAAUGCGUAGAGAUGUGGAGGAACACCGAUGGCGAAGGCAGCCCCCUGGGUCAAGAUUGACGCUCAUGCACGAAAGCGUGGGGAGCAAACAGG
rnacentral:rRNA from 1 species